rnacentral:rRNA from 1 species
UACGAGGGGGGGCGAGCGUUGUUCGGAUUCAUUGGGCGUAAAGGGUGCGUAGGCGGCGCGGUAAGUCGGGUGUGAAAUCUUGGAGCUUAACUCCGAAACUGCAUUCGAUACUGGCGUGCUUGAGGACUGGAGAGGAGACUGGAAUUCAUGGUGUAGCAGUGAAAUGCGUAGAGAUCAUGAGGAAGACCAGUGGCGAAGGCGGGUCUCUGGACAGUUCCUGACACUGAGACACGAAGGCCAGGGGAGCAAACGGG